UCCCGCCGCCGUGCAAACCCUAGCUUGCUCCCCUGCCGUCCUACGCCUCCGUGUCCUCCGCAGCGCCGUCAUCGCGUUGCAUCUCCCUGCGCUCCGCCACCCGCCCCGUUCGCCAUCCCACGCGGUGAGGCCCUCUCCCCCUGCUGCCCCGCUCGAUGGCGAUCCGAUCCGGCGAGCUCCUGCCAUCCCGGCUCCGGCGUGAAUCCACCCUGGAGAAGACGCCGACAUCUUCCUACAUAGGACGCCGGCAUGUUCCUACACAUGUGGCGCCGUCCCCGCGACUAGGAGGAGACCGACCUGCUACUGCUGCUACUGCUCGUCUCCAACGACAGCAGCGACGAUGCUAGGGAUGAAUUACCCCUCCCGUCUCUCCCGAAUUUUUAUGAUUCGUCUCGUCGAGGGAAAUCAUCGCCUGAGGUGUUGGAAUCUCGGCUUCAAGUGGCGCGAGGUAGUGGAGCUCCGUGUCGGAGAGCGGCCACGCCCAAAGAUGUGGAGUUCCGCAGCGGAGACCACGCCGGCAAAGGCUGCUGAGCCGGUGGUGGUGGUCGGGCCAGUGUCCAAGGUGGAGAACGCGAGGUUGUUCCACAUGGACUCCUGGUACACAUUCAGCACACCUGAUGCUAUGAAUUUGCAAAACACGUCCAAGAUGGCGACCAAGACCAAGUAUUGCACGGGGAGGAUCAAGUUGUAUCGUGAUCCCUAUUGCCAACUACUCUGUCGACAGCACUGCUUCUCCUGUGUCAUUCUUUGAAGUGAGCAAUGAGUACGAUGUAUGUAAGCCCCUACAAAAUCCCAAUCAACUAGUUGUUUUGAACUUCAUAUGGUAGAACCAUCUACAAAAUCACCAGCAAGUCAGCAACUAGGUCUAGCACAAGGCAUGUGUGUGGUAUGCGAAAGGUGACGACAACUUUUCUUCCCAUACCGGAUGAGAAGAGGGUGCAUAUUCUACCUAAGAUGCAUAGUAGUAGCACUAAGUCGGCUAGCAUCAUUAUCGUGAGGUUGUGUAUCUUUGUCGGGAAGUUGCAUAUCGAUGUGCCUUAGUUGUGUAGUGAUUUGUUAUGAAGGUGUAUUUUUGUUGCUAUUAAAUUAUCUAGUUACUCACGGCACUAGAAACUAUGAUGGAUAACUAGUAGUGUAAUGUUGCAAGUCUCAUUACUGGCUAUUGUUGCUAAGUAAGUACCUUAGAAAAUAAAUUGGCUAUAAAGUAUAAAAAAAUAUAGUGUAAGCAACUUUUGUACAAAGUUGUUUUUUUACAACAGUAAAGUUGAUUUAUCACG